rnacentral:rRNA from 1 species
ACGCUCGACACCUACGAGAGGCAGCAGUGGGGAAUAUUGCACAAUGGGGGAAACCCUGAUGCAGCGACGCCGCGUGGAGGAAGAAGGUCUUCGGAUUGUAAACUCCUGUUGUUGGGGAAAAAGAGGAUGGUACCCAACAAGGAAGUGACGGCUAACUACGUGCUAGCAGCCGCGUAAUCUGAGCGGGCUGGCAAGGC